AUUGAACGCUGGCGGCAGGCUUAACACAUGCAAGUCGAGCGGGGUGAUGGUGCUUGCACUAUCACUUAGCGGCGGACGGGUGAGUAAUGCUUAGGAAUCUGCCUAUUAGUGGGGGACAACAUCUCGAAAGGGAUGCUAAUACCGCAUACGUCCUACGGGAGAAAGCAGGGGAUCACUUGUGACCUUGCGCUAAUAGAUGAGCCUAAGUCGGAUCAGCGAGUUGGUGGGGUAAAGGCCUACCAAGGCGACGAUCUGUAGCGGGUCUGAGAGGAUGAUCCGCCGCACUGGGACUGAGACACGGCCCAGACUCCUACGCGAGGCAGCAGUGGGGAAUAUUGGACAAUGGGGGGAACCCUGAUCCAGCCAUGCCGCGUGUGUGAAGAAGGCCUUAUGGUUGUAAAGCACUUUAAGCGAGGAGGAGGCUCUUUUGGUUAAUACCCAAGAUGAGUGGACGUUACUCGCAGAAUAAGCACCGGCUAACUCUGUGCCAGCCGCCGCCGUAA
rnacentral:rRNA from 1 species